AGAAACACAGAAAUAAGUUGGUAGAAAGUAUCUCCUUUUGUCUCUUACAGGCAACACUCCCUUACACUCAUAACAACAACUUCAAGUACAUCUGACACAAAUAUUAACAGCAUGCUAUAAAAUGAAAAGAUGCAAUUGGAACCAAAAGAAACGACAACUGGUGACUGUCACAGGCAAAGAGGGGUCUACUGAAGAUUGCCUAGAACUUGAAAUAUGAAUGAAUUAAUGCCAAAAUACGACCCAAGAACCCACUCAUCUUGACCGUCCUUUGUGAGGAUUUACUGAUAUUUACAAAAGGCUUUGAAGAAAAAUAGUGUGAUUGUUUGCACAAUUACCCCAGGAGAACAGUUGGUAUCCUACUUCCUUUCUGCUGCUAAUCAGACUGUCUAUAACAAACAUAUAUGUUCCCUCUAGAAAUCAGAGGGAGCUCCACACUUCCACAAAGGAUUCACACUGCUCCAACACUGGUGGUAGGGACUGACUUUUUAGCUUAGAUGCUUGAAUCUAGGUUCUUAAAACUAAGUAUCUCAUCUGAAACCAGAGAGUAAGUAUGAAAAAGCUAAAGGUACAGAAUUAACAUGAAAUCCAAACACAUCCAUCUUACACAACACAAUUCUAAGGGCUGAAAUCGGAAAACAAUUACCUGUUAUUGCCUUAAACCCACAAUGCUUCCAAGAAUUAUUUUCCCCCAUGUAGUAAUCAGAGCAGCAUGCAAGUCCACAGCUAGGGAAGGAUGCAGUCACCGUAGUUAAACCCCCUGAUAUCAGAAGUGGAAACAUCAAGGGAGAAGACAUCAAGAAAGGUUUUGCAUCAUUCCAUCUCAUUUUCAUUGUAAAAAUGUAAACUUAAGUCUCAAGUGUCUUGUUAGGCAAGUUCAGCAAAUGGGAAUCUUGAGCAAGUAAGUUUCACUCUUGCUUGCU
rnacentral:lncRNA from 1 species